rnacentral:rRNA from 1 species
CCUACGGGAGGCUGCAGUGGGGAAUAUUGCACAAUGGGGGAAACCCUGAUGCAGCGACGCCGCGUGAGCGAAGAAGUAUUUCGGGAUGUAAAGCUCUAUCAGCAGGGAAGAAACUGACGGUACCUGAGUAAGAAGCUACGGCUAAAUACGUGCCAGCAGCCGCGGUAAUACGUAUGGAGCAAGCGUUAUCCGGAUUUACUGGGCGUAAAGGGAGCGUAGUCGGCCUGCCAAGUCUGCUGUGAAAUACCGGGGCUCAACCCCGGGGCUGCAGUGGAAACUGGCAGGCUGGAGUGCCGGCAAGGCAGGCGGAAUUCCUAGUGUAGCGGUGAAAUGCGUAGAUAUGAGGAAGAACCCC